UCGGAUGUGGUGCACGGUGCACACCUGUCUCGUCUUGCAGAAAUUGUUCUAAGCAGUUGAAGCGGGAGCACCGGGUUCGACUCCCGGCGUUCGAA